CAGUAGCCACGGUAAUACCGAGGGUGCAAGCGUUAAUCGGAAUUACUGGGCGUAAAGCGCGCGUAGGUGGUUUGUUAAGUUGGAUGUGAAAGCCCCGGGCUCAACCUGGGAACUGCAUCCAAAACUGGCAAGCUAGAGUACGGUAGAGGGUGGUGGAAUUUCCUGUGUAGCGGUGAAAUGCGUAGAUAUAGGAAGGAACACCAGUGGCGAAGGCGACCACCUGGACUGAUACUGACACUGAGGUGCGAAAGCGUGGGGAGCAAACAGGAUUAGAUACCCCUGUAGUCCCUGUCUCUUAUAA
rnacentral:rRNA from 1 species